AUUUAAAUAGCUUAUAAUAGAGCAUUAUAUUGAAGAUAUAAAGGUAAAUUAAUAUUUUUUAAAUA
rnacentral:tRNA from 1 species